rnacentral:rRNA from 1 species
UUUGAGACACCACAGUCUGCACGCAGGAGUGCGUCCUCUCACAUAAAAUCCAUCUCACCCUUUUGUGCACCACCGCGUGGGCGCCCUUCGGGAUCGAAUCGAUCCAGGAGGGGGCUUGCGUUUUCACACAAACCCCUUUUAAAAAGUGUAGAAUGACCCCACUUUGCGAUACGCAAUCAAUACAACUUUCAACAACGGAUCUCUUGGCUCUCGCAUCGAUGAAUAACGCAGCGAAAUGCGAUACGUAAUGUGAAUUGCAGAAUUCAGUGAAUCAUCGAAUCUUUGAACGCACCUUGCGCCCCUUGGUAUUCCUAGGGGCACACCCGUUUGAGUGUCGUGAAAAUCUCAACCUUCUCGGUUUUCUUCUGGACACCGAAGGAGGCUUGGACUUUGGAGGCCUUUGCUGGCAUCUCUCUCUUCUUGAGAGCCAGCUCCUCUUAAACGAAUUAGCGGGGUCCUCUUUGCCGAUCCUCGACAUGUGAUAAGAUGUUUCCAUGACUUGGUUUCUGGCUCUGUUGCCUUUGGGACCUGUUUCUAGCCGUCUCGACGAGACGACGUUUGGGCGCGUCUCCCUUCUCGGGAGACUCUCUCAACCCCACGAACCCUUGACCUCAAAUCGGGGUGAGACUACCCGCUGAACUUUAAGCAUAUCUAUAAGCGGAGG